GGGUGCGAUCAUACCAUCACUAAUGUAUCGGAUUCCAUCAGAAUUCUGAAGUUAAGCGUGCUUGGGUGAGAAUAGUACUAAGAUGGAUGACCUCCUGGAAAGUCCUCAUACUGCACCCC
rnacentral:rRNA from 1 species